UACGUAGGGGGCAAGCGUUGUCCGGAUUUAUUGGGCGUAAAGAGCGUGUAGGCGGCCAGGUAGGUCAGCUGUGAAAACUCGAGGCUCAACCUCGAGACGCCGGUUGAAACCAUCUGGCUAGAGUCCGGAAGAGGAGAGUGGAAUUCCUGGUGUAGCGGUGAAAUGCGCAGAUAUCAGGAAGAACACCUAUUGCGAAGGCAGCUCGCUGGGACGUAACUGACGCUGAGACGCGAAAGCGUGGGGAGCAAACAGG
rnacentral:rRNA from 1 species